AGGGGAGGCCGAAUCCUGGGCUGUGUCUCGGCGCCCUGUGCUCCGGGGCCUGCACUGUUGGAUUCUCGCUCCCGGCUGUGCAGCCACCU
rnacentral:pre_miRNA from 1 species